GUUCCCGCGAGGGCGCGUCUGAAGGAAGCCCGAGUGCAAAACUGUGAGCCGACGAACAGAAAUGGCAUAUAAGGCCGAGUCUCCGGGUAAGCUAUCACCACAUAACGAAGCCCUGGGUUCGGGAGAUACGGUAAAUGCCGCGGUUGUGCAGCGACAGUUCACGUU
rnacentral:ncRNA from 1 species